GGCGGAUGUAGCCAAGUGGAUAAGGCA
rnacentral:tRNA from 2 species